rnacentral:ribozyme from 1 species
GAAAAAAAAAAAAAAAAAAAAAAAAAAAAAAAAAAAAAAAAAAAAA